UUCGCAGUAAAUUACUGCGAAUUACAAUUUUUAUAACUAAUUCGCAGUAAUUUACUGCGAA
rnacentral:pre_miRNA from 1 species